ACAUGCAAGUCGAACGGGAUUUAGUAGACAGAAACCUCGGUGGAAGAUUACUAAUGAGAGUGGCGAACGGGUGAGUAACGCGUGAGCAACCUGCCUAUGACAGUGGGAUAGCCUCGGGAAACCGGGAUUAAUACCGCAUAAAAUCGUAGAAACACAUGUUUUAACGGUCAAAGAUUUAUCGGUCAUAGAUGGGCUCGCGUCUGAUUAGCUAGUUGGUGAGAUAACAGCCCACCAAGGCGACGAUCAGUAGCCGGUCUGAGAGGAUGAACGGCCACAUUGGAACUGAGACACGGUCCAAACUCCUACGGGAGGCAGCAGUGGGGAAUAUUGCACAAUGGGGGAAACCCUGAUGCAGCGACGCCGCGUGAACGAAGAAGGUAUUCGUAUCGUAAAGUUCUGUCCUAUGGGAAGAUAAUGACAGUACCAUAGAAGAAAGCUCCGGCUAAAUACGUGCCAGCAGCCGCGGUAAUACGUAUGGAGCGAGCGUUGUCCGGAAUUAUUGGGCGUAAAGGGUACGCAGGCGGUUUAAUAAGUCGAAUGUUAAAGAUCGGGGCUCAACCCCGUAAAGCAUUGGAAACUGAUAAACUUGAGUAGUGGAGAGGAAAGUGGAAUUCCUAGUGUAGUGGUGAAAUACGUAGAUAUUAGGAGGAAUACCAGUAGCGAAGGCGACUUUCUGGACACAAACUGACGCUGAGGUACGAAAGCGUGGG
rnacentral:rRNA from 2 species